CUUGCACGCUGGCGGCAGGCCCAACACAUGCCCGUCGAACCAGUUUCGGCCGGGUGAGCAAUGUCUUGUAAACUGCCUGACCGCGGGGGCUAACUACUGGAAACGGUAGCUAAUCCCGUAUACCAUCGCAUGUGCCCAGAUGCGAUUAGCUAGUAGGUGGGGUAACGGCUCACCUAGGCGACGAUCCCUAGCUGGUCUGAGAGGAUGACCAGCAACACGGGAAAGGAGACAGGGUACAGACUCCUACGUGGGGAGUCAGAGGGGAGUAUUGGAGAAUGGGAGGUAGCCGAAGGCAACGAUGCCGGGGGAAUGAAGAAUGCCUGCGGGUUGGAAAGUACAUUGAGAGGGGAGGCGUUAAGCGCAGGAGAAGCACCAGCUAACUCCGUGCCAGCAGCCGCGGUAAUUG
rnacentral:rRNA from 1 species